CCACCUUCCAUACCAUACAUCCCUCAGGGUCAGGUCUGGUCUGAGGUAGCUAGCCCACCUUCCAUAGCAUUCAUCCCUCAGGGUCUGGUCUGUGAGGUAGCUAGCCCACCUUCCAUACCAUACAUCCCUCAGGGUCAGGUCUGGUCUGAGGUAGCUAGCCCACCUUCCAUACCAUACAUCCCUCAGGGUCAGGUCUGGUCUGAGGUAGCUAGCCCACCUUCCAUACCAUACAUCCCUCAGGGUCUGGUCUGGUCUGUGAGGUAGCUAGCCCACCUUCCAUAGCAUACAUCCCUCAGGGUCUGGUCUGUGAGGUAGCUAGCCCACCUUCCAUAGCAUAUAUCCCUCAGGGUCUGGUCUGGUCUGAGGUAGCUAGCCCACCUUCCAUACCAUACAUCCCUCAGGGUCAGGUCUGGUAUGAGGUAGCUAGCCCACCUUCCAUACCAUACAUCCCUCAGGGUCAGGUCUGGUCUGUGAGGUAGCUAGCCCACCUUCCAUACCAUACAUCCCUCAUGGUCAGGUCUGGUCUGUGAGGUAGCUAGCCCACCUUCCAUAGCAUACAUCCCUCAGGGUCUGGAUAACCAGAGGUGGAUGAGAGGAGGGGAGAGGGGAAAAAGAAACUUGCUGACACAUCUUUCUAGAUAUAGCAUAUAGUGCUCUAUAUGUUAUGUGGGUGGGCAACAACACUCUGUGAGAGAGGGAAGAGAGG
rnacentral:lncRNA from 1 species